GCCGAAGGAAAAAAUCGCCCAGCACAGAUGUGCCUCUCUGCCUCCGGACGCUUCUCUUCGUGCGCUCGCGUCUCGCCGCCCCUUUCUUCCUCCAACCGCCACCGCUGCUGCUGCCCCUUUCUACCUUCGCCCGCCGCCGGCCGGUCGCCGCCGCCGUUGUGGAAGAGACGCUGCGGACAGAUGGAGGGAGCCGCCGCCGGCAACAGGCAUGGAGGACCUACGCUCGCCGGAACGAGGCGAGAUGCAGCGGCCAUGGAGGGAUGCCGCCGCCAUCUCCUCUGCCGUUGUGGGCGAAAUGCAGCUGAGUAGCAGCCACCGGCGGCAUCCUAUCCUUCCUCAGCUCUCGGUCGGUCACCACCCUCCGGAGGAACUGCUCCACCUGCACGACCAGUGAUAAAACAGAUCUUGUCGAGGGUACGAAGGAGCAGUGAACAACAGAUGUGAAGGAAAACGAGGUGUGGCAUAAUAACUCACUGAUUCUCCUUCUGUUUAUUGGAGAUGAAAAAUAAGCGUAUCAGGGAUAGGCCAUCCAUAAUAGAAAAUGCUCUCUUUUACACUGUAAUAUCUAUUCAUAGACAUUAGUCCAUUAACUUGCAUGCCCAGAAUUAUAUAGGAAGUGACUCUUGGAGUUGAUUUGGUGAAUGCUUGGCUCUAGACCAUAAUUAUCUUCCUCUGUUUAAUCUUUCUCAAGGCUUGCUGUUACGAAGCUUCCUACAAUUGAACUUCAUGUUUGUCGAUAUUAAAAAUUACAAAUUUCACAAUGUUGUCAAUAUUAAAUGAGGAGAGGUAGCAAAACCAGAGAUAUUUCGGGAAACUGCACUAAGCCACUAAUUGUAGCCAUUUCGCAUUCCCACCAAAUCAAUAGGCUGGUAUAUAUAUGAGAAUAUUUUGCAUUAUGAAUUUAUGAUGCUCAUGAAUUGGUUUGAAUAUCUAGGUUUUUCUGACUCUAGGUCUUGAAUAUCAACUGAUUUUGUGCGCAGUUUAUCACCUUCUAAAUUUAUCUCAUUGCUUCAUGCGUGCAAUAAUCUUAUAGUUUAUUUUCCCAGACAUUGAUGUAAUCUAGAGAGAAGUAGAUUGUACACACUAGAGAAGCCGUAAUCGAAGGAAACCACCUAGCGAUUAUACAUGGUCGCCCCUCCGUAUUUUCUUCUCUUUCAGGGUAUAGAGGGAGUCCAUCAAAGUACUAUGGUUUGCUUCAUGUGUGAGCCAUGCCUGCAUACCACUGUUUGUUUCAAUUUAGUAGUGCUUGCAAUUCUUCAGAUGCUUUUAUCUGUGCUCUAGCUAGCCAGGUAACAAAUAGUGUUCAGAUUUCUUGAUAUUUUAGUCAAACCUUCAUUUUUCACAUUUUCUGAGGCGGAUGCUAUUGCAAUCCAAAGUUUAAAUAAUAGUUUCAUGACUUUGUGGAUCAAUAUCCUCUUGAGGUCAGUUUUCCAUCGUUGUCUUCAUUGUCUCAACCCUCUAGCAUCUCAAUUAUAGUCAGCAUGGAAAGAUAAUAGCUUGCCUUGAUUCUGACAACGGUAUUCAGGUUGCAGCAUCAUUGUCGUUCUUUCAUUUUCUCUUCUCAUCUUUUGGUCCUGCUAAAUGUUGGCUUGUCUUACAGAUGCCAGCUUCUUUUUUUGAGUUCUGAUUGCUUGCUAUCAUGAUUUUCAUGGAACUGAAUCGCAUCUUCUUCUUUUUUAAAGGAAUCGAACUCUUUAACAUUCAGGAUGGACGCAGUUCAUAUUUUACUUGGUUUCUGCAAAAGCUUGAUAAAUUAUAAACAUCUUCCCUCUUUGAAAUGUAGAAUUGCAUACCCUUGCACCCUUUUCUUCUCAAAAGGUCAGGCAUUAGAAGGUAUAUAUGCUGUUCGUACUCCUGAAUUAUUUAACAAUUUCAGUACCUCCGAGUAAAAUUUCAGUUCUUAGUUAUUUAGUUACAUUUGUGCAUCUUGUUUCAAAUUUUACUUUUCCAUACAACCGUGCUGAGUUCUGCUAUCAAUAAGCAAGAUUCAGAGUUCUUUUCUUUUUCCAUACAAUCUGAAUCUUGCUCCACGAUUGUUUUAUGUUGAAAGCAGAAAUCAAUCCUCGGAAUCUAUCAGUACAUUAUUGAAAAUACUCUUUUCUGAUUCGCCAACCGCAAAUCUCUGAGCAUCUAUACAUUAUUGUUGAUCCGUAGCAAUGUCCUGACAGUUUUUCCUUUCUGACGGGGUUUGUUCCACUCAUAAUCCUCAUAAUUGGUCUCUUCUUCAUUCCUGGAUCUCCUAGAUAGCUGGCAAAGGUGGGCCGACUAAAGGAGUUUCAAGUAGCACUCCAAUGCCUCUGUGAGAAUGAUGCGGAUGUGUCCCUUGAAGUGGCAGAAAUUAAGGGCUCUGACUUGCAAUUCGAGGAAAUGCCUGGGGGGUGGAUUACCCCUUUGCAGCCGCCACCUCAUCUCCCCCUACGACUGCCGCUGGUGAUUUUGCGGUGGGGUGCAGUGCAGCGACUUGAGAGAGAUCGUGUGCCUGCUGCGGCUGAUCAAUGGCAGGUCCAACAAGGAUGGCCAGAAGAUGUGCGAGCAAAUUAUCGCCAGGUGUGGGGACGGAUUUUUUUUCUCACUGGCGCACCUUCGAGUUUGCUCCUCUCAGUAUGUCCUGGCGUGAAAAAACAUCAGGAUCUGCACAAGCUAGCCUGGCAACCUCUUUCAAUGCAUUUCCUCCGUGAUUCAGUGUAACCGGGAGGAAUAUGCAGUCAAUAGGAUUCAGGUGAGGAAGAAACAGGCGGCGAGGUGAGGAGGGGGAGAUGAGGCUGCGGCAGAGAGGAGAGGAGAUGGCGUGGCCGGCGGCCUGGCGGAGGAAUACAAUGUUGGGAAAUUAUCUACCACCUCUUGAUUUUAACAUGGUACGUCUCUAUUUGUCGGAAGCUAGAGGACGGUGAGCUAAUUAUGAAAAUUAUGUUGACAAAGACAUGAGACACCCACAAAUGCGAAAGAGAAUUGAGGAUGCUAAUAUUGCCAUCCUGACCAGCCCAUUUGAGCCCCUCAAGCCCCAAGACAAAGCAAGGUUGACAUCGACACUCUUUGAUGAAAUACUUCAGACUUUGCAUGAGCAAGAGCAGAAAUACUUUGAUGAAAUGGUUCAGAAAUGCAAGUUAAAGGCCUACAAAAAACAGUAUGCUCUUUGUGGUAGGACAAAUUCAUAUCCUUGUAUGAAGUGUAUUCACUUUGUAUCAUACGAGGCUGCAUGUUUGAUUCGAUCAUCUGUAUUUUCACGUAGGAUGUCGGUGCAAUCUUAGUUAUUUGUCAAUGGGGUUUUGACGAUGAAGCCAAUCAUUUGCUUUUGCAUAGAAAUCUGCCCGCUGUCAGAUGGGUUGGUAGUGUUGAAUUGGAACUGAUUGUCAUAGCUACAGGUCAAUGCAAAUAACUCUAUGUGAGCCUGAAUUGUUCAAGAUUCGAAAAGUUAUUAUGUCCUGAAGAGUUUGGAAGGUACAAUUGUUUUGCAUAUGUCUUUUCUUUCAACAGAGAAUACACAUUUUUGCGU